AUGUCAGAAGUAUUGUCUCUUGGUAGUGCAACGUUUUCUUCAUUGUUGUAACCAGUACUUCGAUAUUUACAAACAUUUACAAAGAUAUUUACAAACAUUAGUCAUCAAGUUUGUAAGAAAGACUGCUUUUAGUGGAUAUCAUCUUAAGUGCCAGAUGGGUACAGCUUUUAAAGAUCAUCACUGGUAAUGAGAGCCAGAGAUUUAGCUCUGAUUAACAAACAAACCAGAAGGUGGCUUGCAUCAGGUCAGAAUUGCAAAAGAAAUUAUAAAAAAAAAGAGAUUGUGAUUGCUUUUUUAAAAUUAACAGUUUUUUCCAUCUCAUGUCUGCCCAUAAUACGUUGAACAUUGAGUUCUCUGUUUGGAUCAUCUCAGUUUGAAAUGAAAUGUAUUUGCAUUUCAAAUGUAGUAACUGUCAAAACACGACUUUAGGGAAAGUAGGAGCUACUUUCCCUAAAGUCGUGUUCUUGGAAGUGAUCCAAGGAUGCAACUUUGGCCAUAAAACUCCAAACCGUACUUGACCCAAAUUAGGCAGAGUCACAGCACUUGGUGGUGGCAACUCAAAGAAUAGAUACAGUGUGGUGAAGAAGUAUUUGCCCCUCUCUGAUUUCUUAGUUUUUUGCAUAUUUGUCAAACUUACAGGUUACAGAUCAUCAAGCUAAUUUGAAUAUUAGACCAACAUAGCCUGAGUAAAUACAAAAUACAGUUUUUAAAUGACUUUGUUUAUUAAGGCAAAAAAAGUUAUCCAAGCCUACUUCAUCCUCAUAGAAUAGAAUAGAAUAGAAUAGAAUGCCUUUAUUGUCACUAUACAGUUGUACAAUGAGAUCAUCCACUCAUCCUGUGUGGGGAAAAAAGUAAUUGGCCCCACUUGAUCCACAGAACAUGGAUUGGAUCCACAGUGAGAGCCAUUAUCCAAAAAUGAAGAAAAAUUGGAACAGUGGCGAACCCUCCCAGGAGUGACCGGCCUAUCCAAAUUACUCCAAGAGCGCAGCGACAGUUUCACUUUUGGGUC